rnacentral:rRNA from 1 species
AGAGACAGCAGUCGCGCGGGAAUACGGAGGGUGCAAGCGUUAAUCGGAAUUACUGGGCGUAAAGCGCACGCAGGCGGUCUGACAAGUCAGAUGUGAAAUCCCCGGGCUUAACCUGGGAACUGCAUUUGAAACUGUCAGGCUGGAGUCUUGUAGAGGGGGGUGGAAUUCCAGGUGUAGCGGUGAAAUGCGUAGAGAUCUGGAGGAAUACCGGUGGCGAAGGCGGCCCCCUGGACAAAGACUGACGCUCAGGUGCGAAAGCGUGGGGAGCAAACAGGAUUAGAUACCCCAGUAGUCCCUGUCUCUUAUACA